rnacentral:tRNA from 1 species
GUCUUCUUGGCUCAGUUGGUAGAGCGUUGGUCUCAUAUUCAAUUUGAGGUGAUUGAUAACAAUCACUUGUAAUCCAAAGGUCGUGAGUUCGAGCCUCACAGAGGACA